rnacentral:rRNA from 1 species
AAUCCGACUGUCUAAUUAAAACAAAGCAUUGUGAUGGCCCUAACGGGUGUUGACACAAUGUGAUUUCUGCCCAGUGCUCUGAAUGUCAAAGUGAAGACAUUCAAGUAAGCGCGGGUAAAAGGCGGGAGUAACUAUGACUCUCAGAAAAAAUUAAUACGGUUAAUGAAGUUGUUGGUAGAAUUAAAAGAUAAUAGAGAUU